rnacentral:rRNA from 1 species
CAGCAGUGGGAAUAUUGCGCAAUGGACGAAAGUCUGACGCAGCGACGCGCGUGAGGGAUGAAGGCUUCGGGUUGUAAACCUCUGUCAGGAGGGAAGAACCGCCAUGGUAGUAACUGCCCAUGGUCUGACGGUACCUCCAAAGGAAGCACCGGCUAACUCCGUGCCAGCAGCCGCGGUAAUACGGAGGGUGCAAGCGUUAAUCGGAAUCACUGGGCGUAAAGCGCGCGUAGGCGGCUUUGUAAGUCAGAGGUGAAAGCCCACGGCUCAACCGUGGAACUGCCUUUGAUACUGCAAGGCUACGAGUUUGUGAGAGGAUAGUGGAAUUCCUGGUGUAGGAGUGAAAUCCGUAGAGAUCAGGAGGAACAUCAGUGGCGAAGGCGACUAUCUGGCACAACACUGACGCUGAGGUGCGAAAGCGUGGGUAUCAAACAGGAUUAGAUACCCUGGUAGUCCACGCUGUAAACGAUGAUUACUAGGUGCUGGGGGCUUGUCCUUCGGUGCCGUAGCUAACGCAUUAAGUAAUCCGCCUGGGGAGUACGUCGCAAGGCUGAAACUCAAAGAAUGACGGGGCCGCACAGCGUGGAGUA